UGCUGCCUGCUAGCUCAGAGAAUAGAUACAAUUUUGGUAUUUGUGAGUUGUAAACAUGUUAUAAUAAUCUGGACUCUGGACUUUCCAUUUUAAGCUCUGCAAGAUUUUCAUCAUGCUUGUGUGAUAGAGAGAGGAUUUGACUACUCUCACUAGGGCUUAUGAUGCUCAUAAAAAAAAGGACAAGUUCUAAGUUGUUUUCAAUUAGUUUAGGGCUUAAAAACAUGUCAGGGUUUCAGCCUAAAAGAGGUACUAUAGUAUAAUGUUACAUAGAAGAGAGAAGAAGAGUUAUUAAGUGAAGAUUGAUGAGGUGGCACUAGAAAGGUAGGAAAGGAAUUAAGUAGUUAGCCGAAGAAGUUAGGUUGUUGUCAAGUAGAGGAAUUAGUUACUAGCAGUUCUUGAGUCUGCUAUAUAAAUCAGAUAUCAUCUCUUGUAUUGGAUUCCAAGAAUUAUCAAAUAUUAAUCACUCUUUCUUUCUUCUAUAUCUCUCUCUAUCUAUCUAAUUCUCUCUACUCUGCAUUUCUCCCCUUUCUUGCUUCCCCCUUUCUUCUAUUUUCUCUCCCCUUUCCUCUCUUUAUGACUUGUUAGGGAUUCAAUCCUUAACAAAUGGUAUCAGAGCCAACGAUUUGGAGGCCUAAAUUCCAGGUUCUUUCCAUUCUCUAUUCUUCUUCUCCUCUCUGAAUUUCUUCUUCCUUCUUCCCCGAUAUUUCUUCUCCUCUUUCCUCUGCUCCUCUCCUUUCUUUCCCUGGCUUGGAAAAUCCAUUCUUUUACCUAACUAGGGUGAUGAUAAGAGACCAUCAACAUCUAUUACAAAGUAUGAUUAAGUGGGUCAAGCUGCUACAACAAGAUGCAACUGGAAGGAUCAAGUCUUUCAUUUGAGCUCAGUUUUCAUAAUUCUUCUCUUUCACAUUCUUGGGGACAAGAAUGUGCUAAUGGGGGAGGUAUUGUUGCAUAUAAGAGAGAAGAAGAGUUAUUAAGUGAAGAUUGAUGAGGUGGCAUUAGAAAGGUAGGAAAGGAAUUAAGUAGUUAGCCGAAGAAGUUAGGUUGUUGUCAAGUAGAGGAAUUAGUUACUAGCAGUUCUUGAGUCUGCUAUAUAAAUCAGAUAUCAUCUCUUGUAUUGGAUUCCAAGAAUUAUCAAAUAUUAAUUAGUCUUUCUUUCUUCUAUCUCUCUCUAUCUAUCUAUCUAAUUCUCUCUACUCUGCAUUUCUCCCUUUUCUUCUAUUUACUCUCCCCUUUCCUCUCUUUCUGACUUGUAAGGGAUUCAAUCCUUAACACAUAAUUACAGAGAAGUAGAGAGAAUAGAGUAGAGAAACAGAAUAGAGAGAAAAGAUGAGAGAAGAAGGCAGAAUUAAGAGGGAAAUGGGAAUGCAUUUCUUAUUGAAUUUCAGAAUGUCUCUCCACUGUAAUUAAAUCUGUAUUUAUAGAAAUUCCGAGUUGAAGAUUAGAUUUCAGGCUCUGUAACAGAAUAACUGUCACUUUUACUCCAAAAUAUGAGUAGCUAGCAGCUACGCCUACUAGCUACAGAAGUAAUAACUCCCUAACUACUUAACCAGAUUCUGUAGCUACUAGAUUAUCACUUAUGUGACAACACCCCUCCAUGAGCACUGUCUUGUCCCCAUGAUGGGCAAACUCCGGAAAUUGGGACAGGAGAAAAUUUCUGUCAGUACUGUAUUUCUGUCCUAAAAAUGAAACAAAACAACUGCAAACAAUUUCAAUUUGUGUAAGCAUGGGUUUUACAACCAUUUGGUUCUAUUUUGAAUUAACUUACAAGGAAACUAGAGACUUGGUUCAGUGUCAAAUUUUGCACAAAAAUUAAACUAGAGUGCAAGAAGGAUUUGGGAUAAAUAAAGCAUUCCAUAAGAUUCCAUAAACCUAUUGGGAAAUGGAAAGAAAUAAGAUGUUUACUGAAAAAAUAAGCAUGAGUUUCAAACAGACAAACCCUAGUUUGUCUUUCAACUAAAUCUCAAAACAAAAAUAAUGAUCAAAAGUAUGCAAGUAGAAAAUGAAUGAAACAAA
rnacentral:lncRNA from 1 species